rnacentral:rRNA from 1 species
GUAUGAACCAGGGGGGACCGCCCUCCAAGGCUAAGCACUCUCCUAUGACCGAUAGCGAACCAGUACCGUGAGGGAAAGGUGAAAAGCACCCCGAGAGGGGAGUGAAACAGUACCUGAAACCGUGUGCCUACAAGCAGUCGGAGCGCCCUUGCGGCGUGACGGCGUGCCUUUUGUAGAAUGAGCCAGCGAGUUGCGGUUGGCGGCGAGGUUAAGGCAUGAACCGAGCCGCAGUGAAAGCGAGCCUUUAAGAUGGCGUUCAGUCGCCAGCCGCGGACGCGAAGCCGGGUGAUCUAUCCAUGGGCAGGCUGAGGCAGAGGUAAGACUCUGUGGAGGGCCGAACCCACUUCGGUUGAAAACGGAGGGGAUGACCUGUGGAUAGGGGUGAAAGGCCAAUCAAACCCGGAGAUAUCUCGUUCUCCCCGAAAUAGCUUUAGGGCUAGCCUCGAUCGCUUACCCGCGGUGGUAGAGCACUGGAUCCGUGAGGGGGCCUCAACAGCCUACCGACCGAAACCAAACUCCGAAUGCCGCGGGUCCCGAGAUCGGGAGUCAGAACAUGUGGGCUAAGCCGUGUGUUCGAGAGGGAAACAGCCCAGACCGCCUGCUAAGGUCCCCAAAUCAACGCUGAGUGGCAAAGGAUGUGCGUUUGCCUAGACAACCAGGAUGUUGGCUUAGAAGCAGCCAUGCAUUUAAAGAGUGCGUAACAGCUCACUGGUCAAGUGGACAUGCGCCGACAAUACACGGGGCUAAGCGUUGUACCGAAGCAGCGGACUGUAUUUUUCAGUGGUAGGGGAGCUUUCCAUGCCGGGCCGAAGCGGAGAGGCGACUCUCCGUGGACUGCAUGGAAGUGAGAAUGCUGGCAUGAGUAACGAGAGAGGGGCGGGAAACCCCUCCGCCGUAAGCCUAAGGUUUCCUGGGCAAGGCUAAUCCCCCCAGGGUCAGUCGGGAGCUAAGGCGAGGCCGAGAGGCGUAGCCGAUGCGCAACAGGCGGACAUUCCUGUACCACCAGCCAUCGUUUGACGACGGGGCGACGGAGAAGGGUAGCCGGGCGGGGUUCUGGACGUCCCCGUGAAAGCGCGUAGGGAGCGAGGCAGGCAAAUCCGCCCCGCAUAUGUCCCGAGACGCGAGACGAAGCUCCAAGUGAAGCCGGCGAGCCCAUGCUUCCAAGAAAAACCCCUAAGGAGAGGGGCUGGUGCCCGUACCAAAACCGACACAGGUAGGCGGGUAGAGCAUACCAAGGCGAUCGGGAGAACCAUGGUUAAGGAACUCGGCAUACCGACCCCGUAACUUAGGGAGAAGGGGUGCCCCCGCAGGUGGAAGGACUUGCUCCUCGAGCCCGCGGGGGUCGCAGUGAAGAGGCCCAAGCGACUGUUUACCAAAAACACAGGACUCUGCCAAGCCGCAAGGCGAAGUAUAGGGUCUGACGCCUGCCCGGUGCUGGAAGGUUACGCGGAUGAGUUAGCGCAAGCGAAGCCCUGAAGCCAAGCCCCAGUAAACGGCGGCCGUAACUAUAACGGUCCUAAGGUAGCGAAAUUCCUUGUCGGGUAAGUUCCGACCUGCACGAAUGGCGUAACGACUUGGGCGCUGUCUCAACCAUGGACCCGGUGAAAUUGUAUUAUUCGUGAAGAUGCGAAUUACCUGCGGAAGGACGGAAAGACCCCGUGAACCUUUACUGCAGCUUGGCAUUGGCUGUUGGUGCGGUGCGUAGAGGAUAGGCAGG